rnacentral:lncRNA from 1 species
AAAAAGCUGGACCAAUAAAAACUAGUCAACAUUUAAAUGGCUGUGUGAGAGCUUGCAUUUUCUCCUAUUUUUGUUUUUGUUUUUUAUAUCUCAUUUUUUUCGUUUUAAGAUAUAAAAUUAAAGUUGUUCAAAAAAAAAAUACUCAACAAUAAUGAUGCUCUUUAAAAGUUUUUAUCUAUAGUAUUUAAGAGCAAGCACAUCGGUACUCUUUUAUACAAGUUUCUACCUACAAAAAUUUAUAAAAUAAAAAAUAGUAGAAAAGAGACAUAUUAAAACUAGAGGGACGCUUUGUCGUAGAGAGACUUCGUGAUAACGGGAAGGUACUGCUAAGCCAUUUGUCAAUCGCUCAUUCACUGAAAUUUAGUUCAGUUCUUAAAAUUUAAUUAUUCAUCCAACUUAUCUUUAAAAUAAUAUGAGAGACCUAGUUUUGAGAGACUUAUUGCUAAUGAUGCUCUUAAGGUCAUUCACAAGGAUACUCUCUUAAGCAAUAUGUGAUCAUUAAUAAAAUAAGAAAAAAUAAAUAAAAAAGAAAAAAGAACGUGACCGUAUAGUCUCUUUAAAAAGUACCUUCAGAAUUUUAUACUAUUAUUUUAUUUUAAUGUGCUGAUAAUAAUUAAUUUUAACAUCUAUAGCUAAAUCAGUAGAGGUGAAACAAGUGUAGAAUUGAUACCGUAGAAAAGUGUCAGAGUUUCUUUAUAAAGAGAUUGUUAUUCUUUUCACUACCUCUCUCCUAAUUUUCUUUUAGGUACCGGUUUACAUACUCCCAUUGCGUGUAUUUUAAUCGACGAAACAAAUUAGUGGAGAGACUGCAUUUCCAACUGUCCCUGAGUCCCCUGUCAUUGAUUCAUCUUCUUCUUAUUUCUAAAUUAUAAUUAAAAAUUCAACUAUUAUACAGAUAUUAAUAUUAAGCUUUAUUCAGAUAUUUUCUAGAGUACCUCAACGGUGCUCA